CAUAUGGAUUGUGUCAGCAGCCGCGCGGUAAUACGAAGUCCAGCGUUGUUCGGAAUCACUGGGCGUAAAGGGAGCGUAGGCUGUGCGGUAAGUCAGAUGUGAAAUCCCGGGGCUCAACCCCGGAACUGCAUCCGAUACUGCCAUACUAGAGGAUUGGAGAGGUAGCUGGAAUUCACGGUGUAGCAGUGAAAUGCGUAGAUAUCGUGAGGAACACCAAUGGCGAAAGCAAGCUACUGGACAACUCCUGACGCUGAGGCUCGAAGGCCAGGGUAGCGAAAGGGAUUAGAUACCCCUGUAGUCCUGGCAGUAAACGGUGCGCGCUUGGUGUGAGAGGAUUCGACCCCUCUUGUGCCGGAGCUAACGCGUUAAGCGCGCCGCCUGGGAAGUACGGCCGCAAGACUAAAACUCAAAGAAAUUGACGGGGACCCGCACAAGCGGUGGAGUAUGUGGCUUAAUUCGAUGCAACGCGAAGAACCUUACCAAGGCUUGACAUGCAUCUCUAAUCGCGUGAAAGCGCGUGACCCUUCGGGGGAUUUGCACAGGUGCUGCAUGGCCGUCGUCAGCUCGUGUCGUGAGAUGUUGGGUUAAGUCCCGCAACGAGCGCAACCCCUGUGAUCAGUUGCCAGCACAUAAUGGUGGGAACUCUGGUCAGACUGCCCAGAUCAACUGGGAGGAAGGUGGGGACGACGUCAGGUCAGUAUGGCCCUUACGCCUUGGGCUGCAGACGUACUACAAUGCCCAGUACAAUGAGAACCGAUACCGCGAGGUGGAGGAAAUCUACAAAACUGGGCCCAGUUCGGAUUGGAGGCUGCAACUUGCCUCCAUGAAGUCGGAAUCGCUAGUAAUGGCACAUCAGCUACGGUGCCGUGAAUACGUUCCCGGGUCUUGCACACACCGCCCGUCA
rnacentral:rRNA from 1 species